rnacentral:rRNA from 1 species
GACGAACGCUGGCGGCGUGCUUAACACAUGCAAGUCGAACGGAAAGGCCCUGAUUUUGUGGGGUGCUCGUGUGGCGAACGCGGGAGUAAAACGUGUGUAAACUGCCCUUGUCUGUGGGGUAACUUCAGGAGACUGGGGCUCUUACCGGAUAGAAGCUCCUGCAGCGCGGUGGUGGAUGGUAAGUUUCGGCGGUUGUGGCUGGACUCGCGGGUUAUCAGCUGGUUGGUGGGGUAGUGGCUUACCAAGCCUUUGACGGGUAGCCGGCAUGGGAGGGUGACCGGCCACAUUGGGACUGCGAUACGGACCAGAAUCCUACGGGAGGCAGCAGUGGGGAGUAUUGCACAAUGGGCGGAAGCCUGAUGCAGCAACGCCGCGAUCGGGAUGACGGCUUUCGGGGUGUAAACCGCUUUCGCCUGUGACGAAGCGUGAGUGACGGUAAUGGGUAAAGAAGCACCGGCUAACUACGUG